rnacentral:rRNA from 1 species
UACGGAGGGUGCGAGCGUUAUCCGGAAUUACUGGGUUUAAAGGGUGCGUAGGCGGCUGUGUAAGUCAGGAGUGAAAGUUUGCGGCUCAACCGUAAAAUUGCUUUUGAUACUGCACGGCUAGAAUCAGGAUGAGGUUAGCGGAAUGUGGCAUGUAGCGGUGAAAUGCAUAGAUAUGCCAUAGAACACCAAUUGCGAAGGCAGCUGGCUAGACCUGGAUUGACGCUGAGGCACGAAAGCGUGGGGAGCGAACAGG